rnacentral:rRNA from 1 species
UACAACGCACUACCUGUUCAUUGUAGUGGUUGCUGUCAACAGCACACUGCUCACCAUCAACGCAGGGGACUACAUCUUCUACACAGACUGGGCGUGGACGUCCUUCGUUGUGUGCUCGGUGGCGCCGGCAUCGAUGAUUGAUGUAGACGAAGUAUACUAAAUGUUAUUCACACGCGGUCAUGCAAAUGGAACCUACUACGCCCUUAUCAUGACCGUGUACACAUAGGGGUCACAGGGCGAAUGGUUUGAUCUGGGAUACCUAUACUAGUUCUUCAGGCGACAUGACGCACCGAGCACGCUGCCAUACUGAUUGGCGGUACGCUGGUUAGCCUAUCCUUCCCGCUGUUCAACAUAGUCAACCUGUUGAUUGUAAGCGACCCACUCGAGAUAGCCUUCAAGUAUCCGAGACCGACUCUGCCCGCGUACAUGACGCCUAGAGACCCUCAGGUAGGCAAGUUCUACAACUCGCCUGUCGCCCUGGGUUCAGGUGCCGGUGCAGUGCUAACGGUGCCCAUCGCAGCGUUGGGUGCAAAACUAAACACGUGG